rnacentral:rRNA from 2 species
GACGAACGCUGGCGGUGUGCUUAACACAUGCAAGUCGAACGGUAAGGCCCUUUCGGGGGUACACGAGUGGCGAACGGGUGAGUAACACGUGAGUAACCUGCCCUCAUCUCUGGGAUAACAGUCGGAAACGGUUGCUAAUACUGGAUAUGAGCUUGCAAGGCAUCUUGUGGGUUGGAAAGAUUUUUUGGUUGGGGAUGGACUCGCGGCCUAUCAGCUUGUUGGUGAGGUAGUGGCUCACCAAGGCUUCGACGGGUAGCCGGCCUGAGAGGGCGACCGGCCACAUUGGGACUGAGAUACGGCCCAGACUCCUACGGGAGGCAGCAGUGGGGAAUAUUGCACAAUGGACGGAAGUCUGAUGCAGCAACGCCGCGUGCGGGAUGACGGCCUUCGGGUUGUAAACCGCUUUCAAUUGUGACGAAGCUUUUUGG